rnacentral:rRNA from 1 species
AUUGAACGCUGGCGGCAGGCCUAACACAUGCAAGUCGAGCGGAUGAAGGGAGCUUGCUCCUGGAUUCAGCGGCGGACGGGUGAGUAAUGCCUAGGAAUCUGCCUGGUAGUGGGAGAUAACGUCCGGAAACGGGCGCUAAUACCGCAUACGUCCUGAGGGAGAAAGUGGGGGAUCUUCGGACCUCACGCUAUCAGAUGAGCCUAGGUCGGAUUAGCUAGUUGGUGGGGUAAAGGCCUACCAAGGCGACGAUCCGUAACUGGUCUGAGAGGAUGAUCAGUCACACUGGAACUGAGACACGGUCCAGACUCCUACGGGAGGCAGCAGUGGGGAAUAUUGGACAAUGGGCGAAAGCCUGAUACAGCCAUGCCGCGUGUGUGAAGAAGGUCUUCGGAUUGUAAAGCACUUUAAGUUGGGAGGAAGGGCAGUAAGUUAAUACCUUGCUGUUUUGACGGUACCAACAGAAUAAGCACCGGCUAACUUCGUG